rnacentral:rRNA from 1 species
UACGGAAGGGGCAAGCGUUGUUCGGAAUCAUUGGGCGUAAAGGGCGCGUAGGUGGUUCUGUAUGUCUACCGUGAAAGCAUACAGCUCAACUGUAUUUGUCGGUAGAAACUGCAGGACUUGAGGCUGGGAGGGGCUGGUGGAAUUCCCUGUGUAGCGGUGAAAUGCGUAGAGAUGGGGAGAACACUCGUGGCGAAGGCGGCCAGCUAGACCAGUUCUGACACUGAGGCGCGACAGCGUGGGGAGCAAACAGG